rnacentral:lncRNA from 1 species
ACCUUAUAGAUAUCGAACAAAACAAAAUCAAGCAUGCAAAGAGAUAAAAAAUUAUACUUUCUUCAACGAGCAGUACGAUAAGAAGGUGAUCUCCAUGAGACUCUAAAAUAGAAAUCCUCCAAUGGUGACCCAUACGAAAAUUGACCAAGGUCCUUCUUAACCAGUACGUUGCUGCAGCCUUUUCUUCACAAGAAUACUACUGGCUUUGAACUUGAAGAAUGAUCACACCAAUGCUCAGUUGCCUUAGAUUUUGCCACCA